AUCUUUUUUUCCCUUAGUCUGUGAGAACAGCCUUUCCCUUUUAAAAAUAUUUACCAUGUGAAACUGGAAACGGUGAACUCCAGGUUCAACUUUACUUUUUUUUAUUCAACUUGGCUUUAUGAGCUAAUGUAAGUCCAUUUACUUCUUGAAGCCCCAGUUUCCUUAUCUGUAGGGUGAAGGGCAUGAUGGAACAACCCAGCACACGAAGGGUUGCUCACCUGUGGCUCUCAAGUUCUUGCACCUGUCUCCCAUUCCCUGAAUUCUAGGUCUCUCUCUCAGGAUGGUUGAGGAUUAUCAUUCUUUGUCCUUGUUUUUCUUCACCUUCUCCCUCACUCUCCGUCUUUUGUUUUCCACCAGGAAAGGCAAGGCCAGACUCUUCACUCAGCAGAGGCAGUGUUUGUUGACAUUUGGGAAAAAAAAUUGAAGAGAAAAGUCAAAGAUCCUUCAAAAUCAUGGUGUUUGAAUAUUUAAAGACGAUGAAUGCUAGAAACAUUGACAGGUCCUGUGUCAGGCUUCAUUCUGAUCCCUUGGCCCAUUAUUUAGUCUCUAAAAACAAAAGUAGCUCCACUUCCAGGGGCCUUGUGCAGAACAAAUGUGCUAUUCAGCUUUCCUGCCCAACCGCUCCCUCCCCCCGCUGCCCUGCUGCCCUGCUGCUAUAAUUCUAGGACUCUUCCUCACCCUGGGUGUAUCCGGGGUGGGUGAGGGAGCCGAGAUGGGAGGAGGACCGGGUAGAUGGGCUCUGGGAUCCCCACCCCCACCACCUUCACUAUUUUUCCAUAUUGGGGUUCUGUGUAAGAUUUCACUGGAGAAAAGGGAUUGUAAUACUAGAAAAUGCAUGAAAGCCUCUGUCUGCUGACCCAGGGUCAGAUCUCAGUCUGGGUGUGGGGCCUAGCAGGUUGUACUGAUUCAGUGGCAUGACUCUUGUCAAUAAAAAAGAAUACAAAUUACUAAUGCUCGCUGUUCUUACUCUCAGCCAAAUCAUGAUGGAAGAGUAGGGUUCUUGGGCUGGCCUGCUCACCAUUUUUCCCUGGCCACAGGCUGGGGGUCAAAUUCCUUGGCAAGAGCUAGGAUGGAGCUGUUGAUAACAUUGCCAUGGACAUUAAUGGCCUUGGACCCCACUUAUUAUGUGCUUGCUAGGAGGCCACACACAACAGGACAGGGGGCAGGGAAUUCUGCUUGUCCCAAACACCCCUGUCCUCUUAUCCCCAGAUCCAAUAAUAAUAAUAAUUAUUAUUUUUUUUCCCCAGAGAACCAUCUGGUCAGCCCAGACAUGGAAAAUCAUGGGACACAGGAAGGCAGGUGGUGUCAAGCAGAGACAGUGUGGAAGUCCCCAGUCUGAUAGACCUGAGUUUGAGGCCCAUCCUGUUGCUUAGCUAGCAACAGCCCUGAAGCAGCUAAAUGGGCCCAGUGCCAUGUUACAUCCUAUGGGCAAUAAAAAGGAAUUUGCAUCUUGGUUUGGGAGAAAAAAAUCUUAAUUUCUGGGUAGCUGGAUAGUUCUCUGACUUUCUUCACCUCUACGCCCUCAACAAGCCACAAAGAAACCCAGAAGUUGAGGAGGAGUUGCUGGGCACAGUACCUUCCACCGGCAGGAAGUUUCAAUUACCCCUCGUCAAGGAUCCUCCUCCUGGUCAAGGAUCCUCCUCCUGACAAAUCAUCAAAUCAUGGAGUCAUCGGAAGGUCAAUGGUAGCCUAACGUUACAUCACAACGCCUGCGGUAUUUACUGCGACUCACUUCAUCUCAUCUCGUAGGCAUUUUAUCAGCUCACGUCAUCACAAGAAGGGUGCAGAGGUGGGUUGAUGGCCACAAGGCUAAAACCAGCAGCUGUCCAGGUUCUUGACCUCUCGUUACAGAUGACCCUCCACAUGGUCUAGCUGGUUGAGAAGAUUGCUGGAGAACUGUUCUGAUUAUAAGAUGGGGACAAGCAAAGGGCAAUUGUAAGGAAACCAACAGAGUGAGGAAAAUUUAGGGAAAAGAAAGUAACAAAGGGAUGUCCUCUAAUGCAUUCAUCUCCUAAAUUUUACUAAUUCUUCUAACAUGAGAGGCUUUUUCAUAUUCUACAGGUAGCAGUUAAUAGGAAAAAAUGACAUUCUAGUUCUA